rnacentral:lncRNA from 1 species
UUUCAAAUUAUAAACGACAUAACUAAUGUAUUUUUCACAACAGGAUCAAACACGACAAAAAUUUAUAAAUACAACAACUUUAAACCAUUCAAAACAAACAUCAAAUCAAAUAGUUUAAACAUGUAAAUGUCACAACCAAAAACAAGAACAAUAACUACAAUCUAAUUAUCAUCAGAUUCAUUAUCUUCCUCGUCCUGAAAUACUUUUGGCAUGUGCUUCUUAACCAACUCCUCCAAUUUAUAAAAUUUAGCAAACC